AUAUUACCUAAAUCCUUGGGAAAUAAACAUAAAAAUUAUAAGGGUAUCGAUUGAUAAGAAUAUUUUCUGUAUUAGGCCAAUGCAAGAAAGGUUUAGAAUCCCUGACGUAAACAAUCUCGGCCAUUUGUUUUACAUAUUUUCUUCCAGGUGGCGUUUAACAGCCUCAUAAAACCGUUAGUUCGCUGUUUCAAGGUCACUUUUGCUUCCCGCACUGAACUGAGUCUUUCUUUUGUGCCUUUGUUCUCGGUACUGUAUUUUUAUUGUUAGGUUUGCUUUGUGUUAUAAAGGUGGCCUGAUAAAACCGUUAGCUCACUGCUUCAAAGUCACUUCCGCUUCUAGGAUUGACUCGUUCUGUCGUUGAAUUACAGUUAAGACUUUCUUUUGUGCCAUUGUUUUCUUCUUAAGUUUGCUUUGUUAUAAAGGUGACUUCAGCAACAUCAUAAAACCGAUAGUUAAAACUGUUUCAAAUACACUUCUACUAGCAUUGACUUGUGGUGACGUUGCAACUAAGACUUUCUUUUGUGUCUUUGUUUUCGGUAUUUUUCUUGAUAAAUUUGCUUUAUUAUAAAAAUAAGUUACUAAUAAACAUUUAAAUUUUAUAUUUGUAUUUUUGAUAUACAAGGUAUUUUUCGUAAUACAGUAGAGUCUCUAUAAUCCGACAUACAUAGUGUCGUCGGGGAUCGGUUUAUUAGAUUUUCUACGUUUGCAAUCUCUUAGAUAUGUACCGAUUCUGUGAUCCGUACAUUUCUGGGAGAUUUUUGGCAACAAAUGUCAGGAAAUCCGUCUAUCGGGGUCGCUUCUUUUUGAUCAGAAUAUGUAUUUGAUUAAAUGCAUUUCGAACUUAAUACCUCUCUUCAGUCCUAUUAUAACAAAUAUAUCGGUAAAAUAUUAUGUAAAUCUUACAUAAUUUUUUUUACCUAAAUGCAUAGACGUUUGUGUUAAUAAACCUACUUUUUCCAUUCAAAGUUUUCCUGUAUCAUUUGUUUUCAACAUCAACCUUGUGCUAAUUCCGAACGAAAUACAUGUAAUUAGGCGUGCAGCAAGCAAUCAAAUUCAGAGUAUAAUGUUUAAAUUAAAAAAUUUAUAUAAUUAUGUGUACAAUGGGAUUAAAUAGACUUGGCCUAAUAUUACGUAAUGAAAAGGGGAUAUUCAUUGAUGUUAAUCGGUCAGGAAAUCACAUGAAAUUACCAUACGUGGUCCAUAAUGUACUGUACAAGCGGGGCGUUAUAACUUCAUGGAGCUCAGGCAAAUUUAAAUUAGGUGGCCUCCUGUAGUGUUGACUUUAAACGUUUUGGUAUUUGUUUAUAAGCCAUACACUAACGUUUCCUCUCUUAAUUUUAUUUACAAUUUCUAUUUUAAAAUAUAAACUAGUUAUAUAAUAGUAAUAUACAUAUAAUUUAUGUAAGAUAGGUGACUAAUUCCAUAUAAAGACUUUUGUUUUGAAAUAAAGUGCUUUAUUUAAAACAAUAGAUGAGACGUAUUAGAGCUGUACUGAACUUUUUGCGUUCACGGGCCAAUCUUUUUGGGAAAUUAAAUAAUCAUUAAACGGAGUUUAAAGACUGAAGCGGUAAGAAAUAGAAUAAACUGCGGUUCUAAUCCUUUGAAAAACUGGGUUCGAUUGCCUGUCAAUCUCUGGCAUUGUUUAUAUAAUAAUAACAAAAGUGAUAGAAUAAUGCAGUUUUAAAAGAUAGUUAAAGACAUUUUAAAAUAAUUUUAUUAACGUAACGUAUGAAAUUGUAAAGUUUUAAAUGAAAUUCGGUCUUGACCCAGUAAUAAACCGUUAGAGCUUGGAGAUGCUAAGUUCACUCCGUCAUCAAGUUAACACUCUGAAUUCUGUUAUUAAUUUUUAUUUAUAAAUCGUUUGUUGUGUUUGUUAGUAAAUAGUAAAAAAAAAAAAUAAUUAAAUGGUGUCAACAUUGUCCCAACUUUAUCAUUAAACAGUAUACAAUUAAUUAUGGUACUUUCAUAAUAUUUCCCAAAGUUUAAAUGAUUUUACAAGACUGAUAAAGCAUGAGAAAUGAAGUUCAAAAUGAAUAAAAUGAACAUAUAGAGAUUACUACAGAACCAAUUUUCUUUUCAGUCGAACAUGAAAAAUAAUAGUAAUAAAGGCUGGUAGUCACGUCCUCUUAAUGUUCACAACGGAGAAAGGGCCAAAAAUUAUUUGUAAUAUAUAUAAUAGGAUAAUUAAUUUUUGCAUUUAUUAUUAAUCUAUCAUUAACUCAUUUAAUAUAGCCAAUAACAUAAUAAUGUGUCGGCUGCGAAUUACAAUAUUUAAUUUUACAUAUACUGUAUUAUAUUGUAAUUAGAAACGACUUAUUAUGUUACUGGUCAUAUUUAAAUGAGUUAAUAAUGAUAAUAAUAAUAAUAAUAACGAACAAAUUUUUGCAUCAUUAGUUAUUAUUAUUACUGAUAUAUGAAACAACAAAGGUAAAACCGCUGGCUAACGACAAUAGUUCUAUCAUGAUAUGAAUUACAAUGAUAAAUAUCAGUCAGCUGCAACAACAGAUGUCUAAUGUAUUGUAAAUAAAUAUAACUCAAUUUUGCUUAAGAUAUGAAAGAGAUUAGGUCAUUUAAAAUCAGAAUAGAAUUAUUAGUUACUAGCAGAUGAGCCCGGAGUUACUCGGGCAAAAAGUAACGAUAGCGUAGAUUAAGAUUAUUAUAUUAUAGCCGAUCUUACCUGUCUUCACCGGGUGUAAUAAUUUGAUCCCUUCCUCUUCCAAAGCUGAUUAGAGAAUUUUCAGAUGGGUCUAAAAGUCUGUUCGAUUUCCCGAAAAAACGCAAAAAACCGCAUCUAAAAUAGUACAGUAGAAGCCGAGUUCAUUAGGGUAAGCCUUAAUCCUCUCUCUGCACCAAAGGGGGA
rnacentral:misc_RNA from 1 species